rnacentral:sRNA from 1 species
UCUGGCCCAAUUGGAAGUGAUUUCGUGUAUUAAUAAAGUGUACCAAACUGGAAAAAAAAAGUGUGUUGAGUCCAUAAUUGCAUUUCAGUAUCUCAGUGGGAGGUUAGGCUGCUGGAUGGAAAACAGUGCUGGACCUUCACCUUUCUUGACUUAGCUAAGUGAACAGAUGGGGUGUUGGUCCAGGGGAAGCCCUGCUCUAAGGGGUGUGGGGUCAUUGCUCCAGGAUGAUGCGUCUGUGUUCACAGGAGGGGCAUGACUGUGAAAGGAGAUUGGGUCUCUUUCAGGUGCAUGUUUGCCUACAAGCUGGGUCUGAAUGACUUGCCCCAGUCAGUCGCCUUUUUCAGUGCAGUCGAUAUUGACCGGUGCCUCAGGAAGGAAGUGACCAUGGAUUGUAAAACCCCUUCCAACCCAACUGGGAUGGAAAGGAGAUACGGGAUUCCCCAGGGUGAAGCGCUGGAUAUUUACCAGAUAAUUGAACUCACCAAAGGCUCCUUGGAAAAACGAAGCCAGCCUGGACCAUAGCACUGCCUGGAGGCUCUGUAUUUGCUCCCGUGGAGCUUCAUCGGGGUGGUGCAGGCUCCCAAACUCAGGCUUUCAGCUGUGCUUUUUGCAAAAGGGCUUGCCUAAGGCCAGCCAUUUUUCAGUAGCAGGACCUGCCAAGAAGAUUCCUUCUAACUGAAGGUGCAGUUGAAUUCAGUGGGUUGAGAACCAAGGUGCCAACAUCGGUGUGGACUAUAGGACAAGGGCCAUCGUUGC